AACGAACGCUGGCGGCAGGCUUAACACAUGCAAGUCGAGCGCCCCGCAAGGGGAGCGGCAGACGGGUGAGUAACGCGUGGGAAUCUACCGUGCCCUACGGAAUAACGCAUGGAAACGUGUGCUAAUACCGUAUACGCCCUACGGGGGAAAGAUUUAUCGGGGUAUGAUGAGCCCGCGUUGGAUUAGCUAGUUGGUGGGGUAAAGGCCUACCAAGGCGACGAUCCAUAGCUGGUCUGAGAGGAUGAUCAGCCACAUUGGGACUGAGACACGGCCCAAACGCCUACGGGAGGAAGCAGUGGGGAAUAUUGGACAAUGGGCGCAAGCCUGAUCCAGCCAUGCCGCGUAAGUGAUAAAGGUCUUAGGAUUGUAAAGCUCUUUCACCGGUGAAGAUAAUGACGGUAACCGGAGAAGAAGCCCCGGCUAACUGCGAGCCAGCAGCCGCCGUAA
rnacentral:rRNA from 1 species